rnacentral:rRNA from 1 species
UAAAGCGGUACGCGAGCUGGGUUUAGAACGUCGUGAGACAGUUCGGUCCCUAUCCGCCGUGCGCGUAAGAGACUUGAGAAGAGCUGUCCCUAGUACGAGAGGACCGGGACGGACGAACCUCUGGUGUGCCAGUUGUUCCGCCAGGAGCACUGCUGGUUGGCUACGUUCGGCAGGGAUAACCGCUGAAAGCAUCUAAGCGGGAAGCUCGCUUCAAGAUGAGGUCUCUCACCCCUCGUGGGGUAAGGCCCCCGCCCAGACCAGCGGGUUGAUAGGCCGGAAGUGGAAGCACAGCAAUGUGUGGAGCUGACCGGUACUAAUAGGCCGAGGACUUGACUC